rnacentral:ribozyme from 1 species
GAGAAGAAGGUAAGUGUUUCUCUUCCUUUUGUUUUUCUUUUUAUGAUUUUUUUUUUUUUUUU